UACGGGGGGGGCAAGCGUUGUUCGGAAUUACUGGGCGUAAAGGGCUCGUAGGCGGCCAACUAAGUCAUACGUGAAAUCCCUCAGCUUAACUGGGGAACUGCGUGUGAUACUGGAUGGCUUGGAUUUGGGAGAGGGAUGCGGAAUUCCAGGUGUAGCGGUGAAAUGCGUAGAUAUCUGGAGGAACACCGGUGGCGAAGGCAGGUCUCUGGGCUGACACUGACGCUCAUGCACGAAAGCGUGGGGAGCAAACAGG
rnacentral:rRNA from 1 species